GCAGAGAAAGCACAUAUUCAUUUAUGACUUAUGAUGAAAGAGGUUUUCUAUAACUGGAUCCAACUUUUGGGCUUAGGGUCCGGGUUUAACAACCUAGACCCAAAUUCAUUUGACUUUUACUUGGGCCUCAGAUUAAGCCCAUGUUAAACAAAGAACAGCCUUAUCAUCUUUACAGAGUGGGCUCAUGAUCUAGCCCAUUUGCACCAAUAUCAUUCAAAUUAUAACGAAAAUAUGAUCAAACUCCUAACAUAGCUAUUCUUGAAUCCCAACAUAUGAAUUUAAAAAAACCUAAUUAGUUACAAUCUUCCAAAAAACAAACAUUUUCCCAAAAUAAAUACCUUCCAUCAGGACUUAAUACCUAACCCAACUAUAUUUGAAGCUAAAACUAUUACAACUUCUAUCUCAUGAAGGAUCCGAGCCUCUUUUGAACAUGAUUUUUCCACAACAGCCUAUUUCCAUUCCCAAGCCUUUGAACCUGCUGAUUUGGUCAAUUGGUAGCCAAAUCCGCAGGCAUCAGCUUACAACCAAGUAGAUAAAAAGACAAAUAAAAGGAUUUAGAUAAAGGGGAAGUUAUCUAUUCAAAUAAAGGUAAGAAAACUAACUUCGGAAACCUCACAAUCAGUCUUAAUGGCUAACUUUGAAAAGCUAAAACUCAUAAAGCAUUUAGAUAUAGAUUAGCUUGUUCAUGUUCAAAAUCUAAACUCACAUAUUCAAGGUUUAACUAUAUGUAUAUCAUUAUAGGCUAAAGAUUAUCAUGAAAGAGACAUUCAUUUGCACAAAACUCCAUUUAUAUACAACUGAUCUCAUAUUUCUUUAAUAACACAUUACAUGAAGAAGGUGAAGCUCAGUACCUUGCAAAACAGCAACAAAAGAAACAACCACUAAAGGUGCAAAACUGGCUGGAACUUUAAACAAAGAUGGAGCAGCAACAAGACAGAAGCAACAGCAACCAAAAACCCCAAAGUUUCAGACCCAAUACGAACCAUUUGAACCCAGAAGUAACCAACUAAAAACCCACGGAAAAUCUCUAUUUUUCAAACCAUUUUCAACUUGUGAACCAAAAGAGAGAAAAAGUUUUUGGAAAUAUUUCUGAGGUUUUCUAGAGUUCUGAAAAGGGAACUUUUUGCAGAGAAUAAUGUUUAUGAAUGUUGAUGAUUGCUAAAAAAAAUCCCCCCCCCCCUUGUGUGAAGGAAUGUUUCCUUUUAUAGAGUGCACAAAAAGGCAUCCAAGAAAGAAUAUUCUGACCUAGUACAACAUAUUUUUACAACUGUAUUGUCCUUUUUCCUUAUCCAAAAUCAGUAUUCGCUAGGAUAAAGACAAUUGUCCCAAGUUCUAGAAUUUUCUAUUUUUAGCCUAAUGUAAAACCCCAAUUUUACCCUUUGAAAUCCUGCCUAUUUCAUUUUUACCUAAACUCUUUUAGUUCAAAUAAAUCCCUAAAGUUUCUAUUGGUUUUCAAAUCAAAGAAAAUAGAGGCAGAAAGAAAAAGUGAUCCAAAAUCCAGAUCGAAAUGACAAAAAGAAGCAUGAUGAUGCAAUUUAAAACUAAAAUAAACUAAUUGGUGAACGAAAAUGCUUAUCUAAUUAACCCUAAAUAAAAACUGAAUUUAAACGAAUAUUGGUGGCAGAAAUAGUAACAAACAAAGAAACAAAUAUGGUAAUGCAAUGAAACCUAAUAAUUAACCUAAUUAAACACAUUAAACAAUUAAACAUGAUGUGAACUAAAUAACUUGUACUGAUAUUGAACCAAAUUACUUAUGACUGCUUACACGCAGAAACUAACAAAAAUAGAAUAAAGAAACAAGGAAAAGGAUAAGGAAAAUACCAUGAGGAAUCUGGCAGUUCAAAGUCCUUUGAUGUGGCUAAACAAUAUGCUAACCAACCGUUCUUGUUGAGAACGAUUGGCCAGCAUGGUCUUUCAAACACAUCAAAUCCAGAAACAAUCCAAAGAACUCGAAAGGGACGGACAAAUGGAAUUAGAGUUUUUUCUGGUUUUUUCAUAGAUUUGAAAUUCGAGGAUUUUGGCAAGGAUAUUUGGGGAAUCAAGGGUAGUGAUGAGGGGAGGUUGAGGACUAUGGGGUGAAAUUUUGGGUAGAUUUGGGGAGAUUAGGGUUUUGAACCUAAAUUUGAUUCAAGAUUCGAGAACCUGGGCAGUGAUUCGAAAGAAAAGGAUUGGGGAUUUGGAAUCAGGAGGUUGUGAGGGUUUCAUGGUGUAAAAAUGGUUGUGUUUGGAGUGACAGCGCCGUGGGCGGUCU
rnacentral:lncRNA from 1 species